GAAAAACGUUUAGUUUUAAAUAUCUUUAUAUUAUUAUUUAUCUUCUGGCCGGCUGAAAAGUGCUGUCCUCACCGCUGGCCUCAGCCACCGUACACGUGCGCUUUCUGAAAAUCCUGAUUUAAGCCAAAUGUUUUGACUUUCCGUACAACUGCACACAAUUUGGAGGCUGUCGAAUGGUUGUAAGAACUGAAGUGUGCCUGGCUGCGAAUUAUCCGGGCUGUCUCUUCUGGAAGUCAAAUCGUUAAACAGCCGUCAUGUUACAAUAGGAACAAAUAUUCUCAUGAACCGUUGCACCAGAUAAUGAAAUGCAGACUUUUCCCCCUAUUAGGGGUGAACACUGAAGACAUUACAGUUCAAACCAUGAAUACACCGGUAAUGAAGGAAGAGAAGUGUAAUUGAGGGAGCAAAAGGAAGAGGAAAGUUGAACACAUGAGGGAGUGGAAUACAUCUUCAGGGCAAGACAGAGGCCACGAGAAAGGAAAAUUGAGGAGCAUGUCCCUGCUGUUUUCCAGUGUUGGGAUGAUAAAAACCAGCUGUAUACCAGUUUGCAGCAGCUAACGUGCUUCAGCUUGGUAUAACUCCAGUGAAUCAAUAAAUUUAUCUAUAGACGUUAUGUGUCUCUAAUUAUCUAUGACUUAAUUUAAACAUUGCUGACAUUCAGAAUAAAAUAAAUCUAAUCUAUGUAGAAACACACAGCUUGAGGAUUCAAAAUAUAUUAACUCUGCUAUCCAAUGAUAGCAUAGUGUUACUGUGUUUCUAAAUAUAAACUUAAUCUCACUUAGAAGUAUAAAUUUUAAAAAAAUCUAUAAUCAGACAGUGUUUAGCACAACAGAGCAAAAAUAUAUUUUUUUCAAUAUGUUUGGCAUGUGUUUCUAGAUCUUACAGAGUUAAGCUUUAGCCUUAACAAGCCAAGUCUUAGCUUUUGAGGAGCUGUAAUGUAGGUUUGAAUGUUAAAUUCUUCUGCAUUUCAAAUUGCUGACUUAUGUUUAAUCUUCAUGGAAUUACUGGUCAGCAAUAAUCAAAAUAUGGUAAGUUAUAUAGCAAUGGAAAUCUUGAAGAGUGGGUUUUUUUUUUCAUUUUGGCAGAGAAAUGACUAUUGAUAUUUCCACUCACUGUUGGGGCCAAAGAAUAAAGUUUGUUAAGGGUUGAAUAGGCCAGAUAGAUAAUGCUACUACUGUUUUCAGCAGAUGCUAAUGCAGUGUUUUAUUUUGCACAUGUAUUAAUCUUUGCUGCCUCAGUACAGAGUGGUGGGGGUAACUGUGUUGGUCCUAAAGGUUAAUUUCAUUCUUUUUUAAGGCAUGCCAUUAUUCUGUUAACAGUAAUUGCUCUUUUUUGAAUGAUUAGUUUGAUCACGUGAACUGUUUCUAAUUAUGUUGGUGACUGGCAAUUUCCUGUACUGAGAAAUUGUAGUUGUGAUCAUAUCCUAUUUACUCAAUGUAUAUGCCUUGAGAAAAAUGCUCAAUGACAGGCAUUUUCAGAAAUUGCCACAAAUUUCAAGAACUGUUUGGAGACUUUAUAUAAGAUGCUUAGCACUUGUUUUACAUUGGUGUUGAGUAUGUGCAAUGUGCUUGACAAAUGAGGGCUGAAACAACUGGAUGUGAGGCGCAGGAUGAGCAGGUUUGCAAAUGCAGGCCUAUCUGCUAAAUUAUCACCUGUGCUGUCACUGCUGUGAAAACUGAAAGGAGUGGGACGUGUUUCUUGCGCAUUUUACAGCGUUUUUACACUCGAGCUGGAUCUGCUCACUGCUGUAAGCUCUGUUUGCUCGCUUCAGUUACUGUUAAUGAGGCAGAGCGUGCGCGGUGCCAGCCGCUGCCGCACUGAGGCUCCUGCUGGGUGAGCCAGCCCUGGCAGGGAGCGAGGGCUGCUGGGCUGCCUGCAGCACUCACACUGCGCUCCGCUGCCAGCAGCGCACCCUGCACACAGCGCUGACCCCGCCGAGCCGCUUCUGCCUCCAGUGCCAAAUCUGCGUCCAGUUUACAAACAGCAGAAAAACAUCGGGCUGUCUCAGCUGCAUGUACAGCAGCUGAAUUAAACUGCGAUUCACGUGAAGACUGUAACCAGCAGAGAAGAAAGGUGGUGGGUUUGGCCAGAGGUGCAAGACAGUGGCUGCAUGAAGAUUCACCCACUCUCCGCUGUCUCACGCUGAAUGGUUGUAGUAGCACUGUGCUAAGAAUAGCAUCAUUCCCAUGGACACAAGCCACUGGAGUUGAACACUCCUUCUUUUGCAAUUGCUACAGCAACUGGGCAUGUAGUGUUUGUGAAGGGUUGACAUUAUGUGCAUCUUCUGGGUCUGAGCUGGUUCUUCAAAGCUGUUUGCACUGGUUCCACAGGAUGUGAUAGGCAUUUAAAUGGCAUUCAGAAUCAAGGGGCCUGUGAUUCAAAGCCCCAGUUUCUGUCUCAGCCCAGAAGUGCUUCAGAAUGCCCAGAAGAGGCAAUUCUACAUCUUAGUAAAAGUACACCACUGAUAACAUCACCAAGAGCUGCAGUACCAGGAUCCUGAAAUUAAGCACUCUCUCUGGCAAUCUGGCAUUCAAAGCCUUCAAAGGAACGUACUCAAGGCCUGUAAAGUGCAACCAAGUGCUUUGCCACAACAUACCACUUUAAAUGCACAUUCUACAUGUGUUCCUUACUUCACCUGCACUUGUAAAACCGUUACAUUUGACUUUUAUUUGGAAUGUCUCUGACAAAUAGAUGUACUUAUCAAUAAGUAGUCUCUGUAGCCCCAAACACGUGUGCUCUACCACAGCUGUAAUGCCCAGUGCUUGUGGGGACUCUGGUCUAGUCAAUGUAGGUCCGCAGGAGCAAGGAACUGCAAGCCUUUUUUAUGUGCUCCCUGAUUUGCCUGUAACUGUCCUCAAGGAUUUUUACAGGCGGGCAGCCUAUAGGCCUGAUAUGGAUAUGUCCCUCACAGUAAAUUAAAGAACUUCAUUAGAUGUUCACUGGCUCAUUAGAGUGGGACCUGUGAUCCCUGCCCAUUACACACAGGCUGCCUCUCCAGCUGCAUAUUGCCCUUCCUGAGUACCUCUGCCACCUCUAAGCCUGGGGCAUUUGUCUGUCUGUGAAUCAGCUCAGGCAUUCCUACAGUUCUCAGUCAGGUGUGCAAAGGUAAACCAGCUCCCUUCAUGAGUGGAUCACGAGUUCUGCUUUAGUGUUGCGAGCCAGAGAGCCUCUGCUGCCCAGCUACUAUCCAGUCUGCCUUCAUCUACCUGGUGCCAUCCUAAUAAAUUAUGAUAUGUGUGCUCAGAAUUUAUCACUUUGCUGACUGAACAAACAGCAAACAGAAAUCUGAAGGAUGCUCUGGAGAUGCUUUUUACAAUGCAAUAUAAACAUAGCAAGUUGCCCUCCUCAGAAGUCUGUGGAUAUGUGCACACUGGGAUAGUUGCUGGGCCUAGCUGAUUCAGGAAAGAACAUAAAGAAGUCAUUGAUUCAAUGGGAAACAUUUACCCAAGAGUUAUGUUCGAAUGGCUUAGGUCUCAGAAUGGAAUUCCACUUUGAUAAUUGUCAAUAUUCAUUAAAAAACUUACUUUGGCUUCUGAGAAUUAUUUUCUAGGUUAGUUUAAAUAACUAGUUAUCAUAUUCUUUCAUUUUCUUUUCAUGGCAUUAUUAAUUAAUUAUAUGUUAAGUCUUGAGUAAUUUUAAAGAUUUAAUUUAUGACCUAACUAUACUGGCCCUUUAAAAAGUCCAAAGGGCAGAGACUUGCAAUCCUUACACAUUCAUACCAGCAGAGGAGCCCUUAGCAUGUGAGUGUCCUGUAAGCAAUAUUUAAAUAUAAAUGUUAAAUAAUGAUGUGUUCUGAAGGUAGGAGCUGUGGUUUUUGCAAACCUUUUGCACACUUGUGUGUGCCAGGCAGACAAGCACUCUGGAUUUUGAAAGAUAACCCCCUUUUGAACUGUAAGCAUCCCAUCUCACUAUGAUUCCUGGGGAGAAAAUCUUGUUCCAAGUGCUUGGAUUUAUGUAGGCCCUGUGGAGUUCACUGGUGGGUUUAUUUGGCAGGUGGGCCUUAUUAACCUGCCAGCAAGGGACUGUUUGACCUGCUUAGGUUUGUAGAGCUUGUAAAUAAAGAUUCUGUCAGGGAAGAGAGAUUCUCUUGUGCUUCAGACUAUUUAUAUCUCUUCUAACUGUGGCUGUUAAAGCAUAUAAAGAAACAGAAGGUCUGGGAUGUGAGACAGAAAACCCUGAGGGAGUUUUACGUGUUGUAUUUGGAUUGCUGUGUUAAUAUCCUAAAAUAAACACAGCAUGCCAGAAAAUGGGGAAUAUUUUUAUUGUAAUUAUUAUUAACUCAAAGACAUAAAUUAUUGGUUAUUGAAUGGAGCAUGGCUGAGCUUGGCUGUAGAGGACAAUAAAAUAACCU